AACCGCAAGAACCUUACCUCGGCUUGCCAUGCAUCUCUAAGCGCGAGAAAGGGUGUGACCCUUUGGGGGAUUUGCACAGGUGCUGCAUGGCCGUCGUCAGCUCGUGUCGUGAGAUGUUGGGUUAAGUCCUGCAACGAGCGCAACCCUUGCUAACAGUUGCCAGCGCGUGAUGGCGGGAACUCUGUUCGGACUGCCCAGAUCAACUGGGAGGAAGGUGGGGACGACGUCAGGUCACUAUGGGCCUUACGCCCAGGGGUGCACACGUACUACAAUGCCCAGCACAAUGGGAGCCGAUGCCGCGAGGCGGAGGAAAUCCACAAAACUGGGCCCAGUUCGGAUUGGAGGCUGCAACUCGCCUCCAUGAAGUCGGAAUCUCUAGUAAUGGCGCAUCAGCUACCGCGCCGUGAAUACAUUCCCGGGUCUUGUACACACCG
rnacentral:rRNA from 1 species